rnacentral:lncRNA from 1 species
CUUGAUGUUAACCAGGUUGAAAGAAAAUAUGUGGUCUUUUGCUCCAACAUACAGCCGACUUCGUUCUUCAUCCAAGAGGAAAGUAUGGUAACUGGAACUAUUAGCUAGUCCAUUGAAAUUGACUAUAUUAUUGGACUCCAACAUUUCUUUAUAGGAUAAUUUGAGUCUUGGCACGUUAUUCUUCACAUGCUGGCAGUUCACUCUUCCUGCUAGUAAUACUCCCAAGGAAAGCAAGGCAAUCCCCCUGAGCCAGCCCAUGCUGCAGCAGCCACUGUAGGGUCCCUGCGAGCCGGAGCCGCGGCGCUCCCCGUCCUGCCGGGCGCCGCCGGGGAACUUCAGGCAACCUGGGGAGCGGAGGUAACAGGUGAUGGGGGUGGGCUCCGUGCCCCGCCGCGCCCCGCCGCCGCCGACAGCCGCCCCGGCCCCGCGCCUCUCCUCCGCUGCCUCCGGGGUAACUUCAAGCCCCUCUCACGCACACGCCGCGGGCCGGAAAAGGAGGCAGCCCCCGGGCGCGAGUGGCGUGCGGGCGGGGGGGCGGCAUGAUGCGGGCGGCGGCGGGCGGGCGGCGGCGCGGGCCGGGGGCAGGGGCCGGGGCCGGGGCCGGGCCGGGCCGGGGCUGGCGGGCGCCCCGCUCCCCGCGCGGCGGGCGGGUCCCGGGCGGGAGGGGCGAGCGCGGCGCCGAGGCAGCCCCGCGCUCCCCGCGCACAUGGAGGGAGAGGCGCGGGGGACACCGGUUCUCCCCGCUCUCCCAGGAGCGGCUGACAAUGGGAGCGCAGGGAAGCUCGACCCCCCCCCCCAACCCCCCUUCCCUGCUGUCACAGCACACAUGCAAAGAAAAAAAAAAAAAAAAAAAAGCAAAAAAACAUCGCGGCGGAGAUGAGAGGAGGGAACAGAAACCUCCAGCGAGCUUGGGAAAAGCAGGGAGCUAUAAAUUUCAAGAGGUAUUUUAUGUCAUCGUCCAGGUUUUCGCGUAUUUUUUUUAUUAUUAUUGUUAAUAUUUCAUUUUACGCUUAUAAUUAAAAGGUGUUCGUCCCCCUUGAAAAACAACAGCACAGCUCAAAGCACAAUGUUGCUACCCACAUAAAUAACAUCUUCUGCCCAUAACAUAAUCCUCUUUGGGUCGCUCCCAGCUAGAAACAAGUAACAAAGUCUUCCAUCAGCAUAACUUUACCACCGAAGCUUUUAAAGCCUUGUUAGGGAACGUUGCUCCAACCCUCCCACUCUCCCCACCUCCCGCACUACUCCGGUUCCGCAGAAGAAAUUCCUUGCAAAGCCCACUCCAGCAGUCAGUUCAAGACAUGCACAGGUCUAGGGGGGCUUAUAAAUUACAUUGGAGGAUUCUCUGAAGCAUUCUUAAGUGUUCCAAAGCUACACAUUUCUGAUUAUUUUAACCUUAUAUUUUUACGCAUUAAAGGCAGAUAAAGAGUUUUGUUCAUUUGUUUAAACAAAAGGAUAUACAAAAUCCCCAGAGGUCUUCUAAAUGUUAGAGAGCUGUAAAUACAAACAUGUAAGCAAACUGAAACUCUCCCCUCCCACACAUCUGAACAACCCCUUCCAGUGAGUGAUGGUUAAUUAAAUUUUCUACUCUGAGCUGAAUGUCAAUUUAACAUGAAAUCUGAAAAGUAGUGUCUUACACUGAUAUGUGUCAUGUAUUGGAUUCCUAAAGCAAUAAUGACAGAAAAGUUGGAAAUCAACCUUUACGAAGCACCGUCAUUGUAAGAGAGGAGUGACCUCUGUUUAUUUUGCUCCAUACUUUUCCAUACGAACUCAGACAGUGUGCUGAGGUGUCCGCAGCAUCUAAGUGAUAUUUCUUCCUUCCUUUUUUUUCUUUGGGUUAAAAAUCAGUUGUCUGAUCCCACCAAAGGUGAUCACACUACACUCUGAAUUUUACAGAACGCAGCAUCUAUUUUCUGUGUUCAAACCUAGCUAAUAAGUCAGUGCCUAGGAAGUAUUCCUAACUUUGAAGCUGAAGUUCAUAGUUGCAAAUGCGGGUGUCAGUAUGGUUCUAAUUAAAAUGUAAAGGCUCGUGCAGAACAAGGCUUGGUGCUAUGGUAAAGCAAGAGCAAAAAUUCUGGCAUUGCUGCUUUCAUUCCUUAAUAUUCACACACCAGUGGAAAAGAAGGAGCUUUUCCCCUCUCCUCUUUUAAAAAUUCUUCUGCUUCCUGAGCUUAAUUCAUUAAUUCCGUGGCAUUGUAUCUGACAGAUUCAGCAUUUCUAUUGAUCAACGGCAUUGUUAAGAAAAUAAAAUCCAAAAAUAAUGUUGAUUUUGGUCAUUCCCACACUUGUUAUCCUGAGCAUUUUCAUGCUCCAGGCAGUGGAUUAGAGCCCCAAAAUGACAAGAGAUGCCUGUCUGUUUUCCAUGGAUUACUCGCUACAGACAUUCACUCUGCAAAGGAAUUCAUGUCACUUUGAGAUUAUUUGGAGAAUUGGCCUAAUGAAUUAUCCUUUUGUAUGCAGCAAACAAUUAGAAAUAAAACACAAAAGGUGCACCAUAUUUAGGACUUCACAAAGCGCAUUCUACAAUGUUGUUACACUCAGUAUACUUGUCGUUGCAUAAAGAAGACUCAACUACCUUUUUUUUCUUUUUUUUUUUUUUUUUUCUUUCUCACGUAAGGAAAAGAGAGUAAGAAGAUAAAAUUGCAUCCUUCUAGUGUAGAAUGACUGUGUGACACUCCAGGCUAUUUUCCACCAACCAAGUAAAUAAAUCAUGGUCCCCAGCCAAUAUAUAUUUUGCUCAGAAAACAUGUGGAUCAAAUACAAUGAGUCAUAACUUAUCAAAGACUGUGAUUUUAGAGAUAGAACAUUAUUUUAAGAGAGGUGAGAGAUGCUAUCUCUUUGCAGCCUUUAUGUGUAAGACCACUCACAUUUUGCCUUCCUCUGUGGAAUAUGCCAGACCAAAGAGAAGGGUAAAAUCUGACCCUCUGGGUCCUCCUCCUGCUAUUUAGCUCUAAGUAGUGCUAAUCAGCUAGUCAGGCUAGCAUAUGCUACACCCCCUUAAAAGGAGAGGGGCAAUGGCAGCACUUCAGUGAUGUUUGAAGAGGCUUUAUAUCUCAAAGACACCCAUUGCCAUAUGGUGCUUCUGCCAAGGCAAAACUGGGCUCUGCUUGGAAGGAAUUAUUUGGCCAACAUGCCUACAGCAAGUGCCAGAAACGUCAACUCUGGUAAUUCAGGGUCGGCAACAACUCACUUUCAAAUGACAAACCAUUCACCUUUUUUCUUUGGUCUUUUGAAAGUGAUCUAACUGUUGAGUUUGGAGGGAGGGGAAAGUAAAAUCCCAGCUUUCCUUGGUUUUUCAAAUAAUAUCCUUCUCCCCUGAAGUAGACCUCAGUUUUUAGCUUAAUUAUUCCAUUAUUACUCUGUGAGUUCAAAAGAAACAACAGUUCUUCUCCAUCAUUUCCCAUAGCUGUUGCAGGCUUUAUUUUUGUUUUCUGUAACAGCAUUUAUAUGCCAUUCUAUACAGUGUUUUACUUCCCAAAAGCCAGAUAGGCACUUGCGGGUUCUGUGUAAUGUUUCUGGUCUCAUGCUGUGUGUCAUUAUUAUUUGGAGAUUUUUAUACUGCCUUUUAAUAUGCGCAACAAGUUUACGUUGAUAGAUCCUAUAAAAAACGUUUUCUUGGAUGUGUCUGGGCUUUUACUGCUGACCAUUUGUGCAGAAUUAUUCUUUCAAACACUUAGAAAGUUGGCAUCAUUUGGUGCUUCUCAUUAGUCAGAAACAGUCUUACUUGACUCAUGAUUACUGCAAAUCUUCUUGCUGCUGCUCUCAUUUUUACACGUAGAAGCUCUUGAAAUCUUAGCUGCUCUAAGAACAUCUUCAUUGUACUUUAAGAAUGUACUUAUGUUCUCAGAAUUGUUUCCUGUAUCUCAGAUGAGUCAUUACUUGUUUAUAUCGAUACAAUCAGAUUCUUCUCAGAAAUACGUGGGAAUUAGCAGCAUCCAAAUUCAAUAGGCAGUACUUGUCUAGCAGUAUAAGAUUUCUUAGGUUUAUUAUGCAUGUUCUGGGCAACAUCAGAGAAAAAAAAAACAAAACAACCAAAAAACAAACAAACAAACAACAACAACAACAAAAAACACCACCACCACAACAACAAAACCUCAUAUUGUAUCUGAACGUUAAAAAUCUCUUUAUAGGACACACUCCUGUAGGAAACGCAAAAUUCUACCUCAGAUACACUCUUUGCUGUUUCCUCCCAUAGCAGGUGAGUUGCCAGAUAAGCAGAAUAUUUACAAUUCUGCACAGGGUCCCUUUGAAAUUGUUCCAGUUGUAUACAUAAUGAUUCUUGUAACAGACUUUAGAAUAACUGAAUAAUUAUUGGCCCAAAGGAGCCUCAGCCUAGAGCUCAAUUAUAAAUAAAUACACUUGUCAUGUGAUGUGUGAGACGCUCAGGAUGCAGUUUUGCAACACAUUGAGUUCAGAAGAAAAAUAGUUCAGAAGAAAAAUUCCAUUUUAAGAAGAUCCAGACCUCAGCUGCCACAUUCUGUUUUUACGUCACAGUUGUCCGCUUUUUAUUUGGGAUCCUACAGACAUUUUAGUGGGGACAUUCCAGAAACAUGAUGAUGAUAAUGAUGAUGAUAAUAAUAAUAAUAAUAAAGUAAUCUUUAUGGGGAUUGCUUUUCAUGCAGAUACAGUGCAAGCUAAUGGAGCAGAAAGAAUUAUGAACAGGCAUUGGGAUAAAGCUGAGUAAGCAGAAAUGCAGAGGAACUGUAGACGUUGGCCUCACUUCUGAAGGCAGCAUAUGAUGAAGCUCUACAGUUAGGUUCAAAUCCUUUGCCUAUGUCAGACAGGAACCUAAACCUGGAGACAAUUUGACAGUGUUGCUCUUCUGGGUUGACAUGAGUACUCUUCUCUCUUUGAUAUGCAAUGAGGGAAAAAAAGGAAAAAGAAAAAAAGAAAAAAAGAAAAGAAAAGAAACCUAUAAAAAGCCUGUAUGGUGAAGAUAAAUACUUUUGAUAUCCAGAUCUGCUGAACUGAGUAUAGGAUCAUUUUUUUUAACAGUGUUGAUGAUUAUCAGACUAGUUCAAGAUGUCGUAAAUUGCUGCUUCCACCUGGAACUUAAAAGGAUUUAAAAUUCAGUGGAGUGGCGGUUUUUCAGUUCUGAAGCAAUAAGGGAGCAAAACUGCUUAAAAUGCAUCAGCAUAAAGCAGAUAAGGGUGUAAAUUUUAACAUUUUAUCAAGCUAGAGUUGCUAAGAUCACUAGUUAGCACCUAGACCUGGAAAUAUCCUUGCUGUUAGAAGUCUAGACGUGUCUUUCCCCAGCUCUCCCUUGGGCUAUAUUGCAUUUGGUAGCCUUAUAUGAAUCACCUGAAUCUACAUAAAUCUGUAACAUUUCUUAUUAUUGUAUGUGAUCAAGUUGUUAACCCAAGUCAGUUAGUACCUGCCUUCUCUCAAUAACACUGCAUCUUGCCAUCUUGUCACAAUCAACUUUUCCUUCAAUUCUCAGGACUAAUGAGACUGUUCUACAUGUGAUGUUUGUGCUUUUGGCAGCAUAAUGGGAUCUGUAUCAGUAUGAUGUGUUUUAUUCACAAUGCUUUCAGGUCUAUUAAACACCUCAUCAAAUUCUUCAAAAAUAUUCUUUGCAUCCUGUUCUGUAGACAGGUUAUAUGUCCGUCUGAACAGCAGCAUUUACAAAUAACUCUUUGAACCUAAACAAACCUUUUCUAUUCCCUUGGCCUCAACUGCUUGAUGUUCAUCUUCAUAAUCAAGUAUACAUGAACUAUGAUAUCCAGAGCCAUAGUAAGAAACUCACCUUAAUAGAUCAGUGCCAAGCAUGUAACAUUAAUAGCAGUAACAAAAAGCUUAUUUU